UCCUUCACUUUACUGAAGUUAACAACUAAGCUUUCUUUUGUCUUGUAUUAGUUUAUUGUUUGAAUUUAGAACUUUGGUAAUGACUAAACUAAAUGUUGUUGUGUGUUGUAGUUUUCACUCCUUAUUCAAUGUGGUGAAUAAGUCAAAAGAGUAACUAACAUCUGACUCACUCCAUACGUGCACCAUACAUGUGGAGGACUGCACACACACCUGUGGAGGAUGUAGAGGACCAUCUCUUUGCUUCCUGCACUGGCAGCGUGAUGACGUCAACUGCAGCCGGACGAGUCGAGUGAGGUGAGGUGGGGCUCCCUUCAGGUGGGGCUCCCUUCAGCUGAUGAUUCAAUUCAAAGACACAUGGGCAGCCUGACCAAAACAAGAUGAAGAGCUGUUAGCAUGUCUGCUACACCAUGCUGCCUCACUUCCUUCAACAUUUGGUGUUUCCUCGCUCUGAACUCUGAAGAGAAGGAUCUGUGCUGCAGCUGGAAGGAGUUUCUUUAGAUUAAAGUUUACUUGUUAGCUGUUUUAGUUUUCUUUCAGCUAUAGAUUUAGUUUAAAGUCUGUUUUCUUUAAUCUUUAUGUGCAGUUUUCUCUCAACACAAUUUUAAAGUCUUAAUUUGUGUCUUGUUUGUG